GAAGGAGUUUUCGACCGGAACUCGUCCUCGACAGGAGCUGGAUACAAAACGGCAGCCAAUAUUGUUCUGGACAACUCAAAGGAAUGUCCAAGCGAAAAGACUUUGGCAGGGAGAUGGUGGUGCCUGAGAGUGCUGGGCACGGAAGCACGACAAGGAAAGGAUCGUCUGAUCGGAAGCUGUGACAAGGUAAUUUAGAAAGGGUAGAUGACGUUUACCUCGCAGCUGCGCACUGGUGGUACUGCAGGGGGCGUUCGAUGCGCUUGGUUAGGUCGACGCAAGCUGUUGCCAGCAGGCGUGAGUCCAGGGCAGGGGCGGCAGUGCAAAUUCUGUCCAAGGGCUGAAGGUCGUCCACAAAACCAACCCACGACGCGCCGGCCAUGAAGAUGAUGAACUGCAGGACGAAAAAAUUGGUGCGUGAGCCUUUGGUUGUUUCAUCCAUUGUGCCUUCGUGCCAGACCAUAGACCAUAUACGGCGUGUACAAGCAGCCUCUCAUCAUUGGUGGACGAUCGUGCCUUCACGACUCGUGGCAGCGGUCUGCAUGACGACGUCACAACCGCAUCGUGGACAGCUCUCGAUUUAGAGGAGCUACCUCCUUUGCUUUCUUUCUCUUUUUUUUCGAAUACGGGUUUUGUUUCUCUUUGUCACAGAAGGCUGUUUUCUUGUAACGUAAAAUGUUAACAAUUUCAGAGAGUGCGCUGACGCCACCUCACGCCACCUCUGGCUGCCUAGCCAAGGUCUCUCGUUCCCCAUCACUCGAGGUCUGAAACCUCCAUAGAAAAACAAAUCGCCGUCGCACGACGUACGAUAUAUAGAGACGCGGGCCACGUUUGUUUACACGUCACACGGUCAGGGGGGAGAGCAGUAACGCUGCAUGCGCGAACACGCCGACAGAUAGAUGCCCGCGCUCCUGUUGCGCUAAGUCGCCUACCUCGCGAGCAGCGUCGAAAUUGCGUGAUCGCGUUUGGUUUUCGUCUUGCAUUACUUCCCUUCUUUUUAUUGUGUCUUCGUCAUUUUUUUUUUCGCUCGUGCGUCGAUGCAGCAGUUGACUAGACAAGGUAUGCACACACAGGACUAUACCCGCCUCACGCCCGAGGCGAAACGGCGCGAAUGUGUGGAGUACUGCAUAAAUCCCGCGAACAAACAAGGACUGCUCCCGAAGCACCGGGUGAUAUGCGUUAUAUUCUAUAUUCUAUGUUUAUAGGAGCGCGGGCUGCAAGGAUGCAGCUCCGGCUCGGUGGUUCUGUGUUCUCUCUCUCUCUUUGCCCAUCUAGAUUCAAGACUUCAUUAAUCAGACCUUUUGUUCCUGCAUGAAGUGGUCAAUGGCAUCAUACAUUCUUCAAAGUUUCUUGAUCAUAUGCAAUGUUUCAUGCUGCAGCAGCAUACCAGGCAGCAUUCCACAUUCUCGGCCUGGACGUUUGCAAUUGAAUUCUGUCCUGUAUAUGGCUUGACUCUAAAAAAAAAGUAAUAAGAAUUGUGCCUCUAUUGACAUAUUUCAGAGUUUGUUUCGUAUGUGUUGUAUAUAUGUAGAUAAUCAUGUUGUAUGAUUAACACUCCCUUUUGAGCUUCGUCGUUUUCUUUUUCCCUAUUUGUUUCUCUCUCUCUCGCAUUGUUUUGUCUACCACAUUUUUGUUCUCUGUACAUUUGGCUCGCAUAUUGCUUUUUAAGUGCACUAGUGCGGAUGCUCUCUAUCUGUUCAUGGGCGCUAUAAUAAGCAUUGAUUUAUUCAUUAUUCUUGUGCGAAACCAUGUUUUCGAAGUGUGUGUAAUACAUUAUUUCAAUGCAGUAGCUUUUGUGCAAUAUUGUUAUAGUGUGAAAAUAAAAAAAGCAUGAAUUAGGAAAGUGCAAUAAAUGCUAUGCUCCUGAUCAUAUGUACUGUGAUACUAAUUUCUUCUGAAGUUUAACAGCGGUUGGCAAACGUAUCCAGUGCUGUGCAAUAAAUUAAUAUGCCCCAGCAAUUAUUGCAUGCCUCGCAGAACAAAUUUAAUGUAUUUCUCAGUCAAAACAUUAUAGUAGGUUGAAAACAGUAAACUGGUAUUUUUUUGCGUGUGGUGACUUGAAGUGUAUAAAUUGUGAAAACAACCUGUUCAUAUAUAUACAUGUUGUGCAAAUGAGCUGCCCCCCUACAUUUGUAUGU